UCGAGAAUCAUUCACAAUGGGGGAAACCCUGAUGGUGCAACGCCGCGUGGAGGAUGACGGCCCUAGGGUUGUAAACUCCUGUCAUCUGGGAGUAAGCCUUGUUCGUUAAUAGCGUGCAAGGUUGAUAGUACCAGAAGAGGAAGGGACGGCUAACUUCGUGCCAGCAGCCGCGGUAAUACGAGGGUCCCAAGCGUUGUUCGGAAUCACUGGGCGUAAAGCGUGCGUAGGCGGCGCGGAAAGUCAGGUGUGAAAUCUCUGGGCUCAACCCGGAAACUGCACCCGAUACUCCCGCGCUAGAGUAAUGGAGGGGUAGCUGGAAUUCUCGGUGUAGCAGUGAAAUGCGUAGAUAUCGAGAGGAACACUCGUGGCGAAGGCGAGCUACUGGACAUUUACUGACGCUCAGGCACGAAGGCCAGGGUAGCGAAAGGGAUUAGAUACCCCCGUAGUCC
rnacentral:rRNA from 1 species